AUCGAUUCUCGGCCUUUUGGCUAAGAUCAAGUGUAGUACAAAAGAAUACAGUUUUUCAUUCUUUUAUUUAUUAGUGAGUUCAUUUUCAUUAACCAGUGUAUUAGUCUGCUAGGGCUAACAUAAC
ensembl:snRNA U2 U2 spliceosomal RNA